rnacentral:lncRNA from 1 species
UGUGUUUCUAUUGAAAUAUGGACUUUUAGUAUGCUAAGAUGGUGGAUUCUUCUUGUUAUGUUCAUUCUGAUUGUUUUGGGGGUAUCCAUGAAGCUUAUAAUAGUUCUUUACUGUGUGUCUUGUUCUUUUGCAGUAAUCGCAAAACAAUUGAGAUUUGUCCACAUAAUUUCCUGCAGAUGAGCGUCCUGUAUUACUGGUGGAUCCAUGAUUGAAAUUUCUGGACCCCGAAGAACUAACAUUAAGUGAAGCAGAGUCCAUAUUCAUCACAUUGUGUGGUUUGAACUCUCGUUGCUUUUCCUCUUGAAUCAGAAUUGAGAAAGCUUGAGCCAUGGAAGGUAAGGGAUUCAACAUAAGAAUACUCCCUCUUACAGUAGUG